CAGCGAGUCCUUCACCAUCACUCAAAAAAUCUCAAGGAAUCGUCGCAAUAAUUCACCACCGGUACCAAUAUUGUUGAUAUUGAUAAUUAUAAAAUAAUAAAACUGAAACAAACAAAAUCAUGAAUUAUUUAACAAGGCUCCAAAGACUGACGCGGCACAACGCCGGCAAAGCCUUCGAAUCUCUUUUUCUCCCACCCUCGUUUCGUAUGACUCCACUUCUCUAUCUGGUACUACUACUACACCAUACCCAUACCGUAUAAUACUACCUACAGUACAAAACUCUCCAGUUAAGUAAAGUGAAGCGUUGAGCGUUGAGUAGGAAGGAACAUAACAGUACAAUAGCUCCCAGCCGACAAGCAAGCACCGGGACUGGAACAGAAUACUACACUCUAAACUCGAAAGUGUACGGUAGGAAUGCCAGUACCAGGCAACGGACACAACACUGAACAGCGACACAGUUAAGCGGCACGCAGAAGCCCGAUGCGAUUGCCGGUCGACGGAGCCCGGUGAAGCUCCUACACGUAAUAUUCCACUCACUAAGGGUUGCAGUUUUACUUGUAGUGGACCAAGUCACGUGCCUGUUGUUCUUAUCUAAGUGUUGGGUCUGCUGAUACGCUGAAUACCAGGGGAAACGGAUUCCCGCCUUUGUUGUCCUUCAGCCAGCACUUCCUAUUGGUUGGAAAAAAGUUAUGCUUCCAUUCUACGAUCCGUGCCGAUCACUC